UUGUAUUUGGCUGUAGUAAGAAUUGAGUAGGAGUAAGCUACUAUCGAUAGUAAAUGACUUGGUUUACUAUCAACUUGUUUUCAAUGAUAGAGCUUUCAAAUUGAUGAUUGGUAUCGUUGAAUAUAAUCUAGACCAUUUAAACUAUUUAGAAAUCAAAUUUCAUAUUUUUUCGACAUCACUAACCAAACGAUUAAAGGAUUACAAAAUUUGUAAUUUUAAUAGCCAAUACGGCUCGUUUGCUCUUUUGACGGUAUAGAAGAGUCCAAAAUCUAAAAUUUUAAGAAAAAAUUUUAAACUAUUUAAAACAAGAUUUAGAUUUUAAAUCUUGAAUAUAAAAAUUGUAUCAUUUUUUUUAAGGAUAUUCAUUUUUAGUCCUUUAUUUUAUGCCCACUUGAUGGACAAGGGAAUAAUGUCGAAAAAAUAUGACAUCUGAUUUUCACAUUUUUAAAUAGUGUUUAAAUAGUGUAGAUUAUCAACCGUGUCAAUCGUCGAUUUGGAAGUUUUAUCAUCGAAAAUAAAUAGGUAGUCAACUAAACCAUUUACGACCGAUAAUAGCCUAGUCCUAAUUGUAAGAAUUAGGGCUAUUUCCUUGGCUAAUUAUUAUUUCAAUAUGUGAGGAGUAGCUGCUGAUAAUUAACCUUAUGAAUGAAUAUUAAAAUGUUUGGAUACUGCAAGAGUUGUUGAAUAUCAAAAACUUGUUAAUUAGAAUUUCAUCUUUUUUUUUUUGAAAAAUAAGUUGAAAUAUGACAUCUCAAUUAUUCAACAUCGGAUGAGAAUGAGAUUGUGAUUGGGUAUAUAAGAGACCAUGGAUAUUAGUAAUAAUAACUGGAUUUAAGCAUUUUGGGCUCGUGGUUUGGACCUACUGAGUUAUUAUUGCUAGCAGGUCAGGUCGUUAUAUUUGGUAUCAGAGCCAAUCAUCAACCGAAAAUGUAUGACGAGUCUCGAUUGAGUCAAGAUUUGAAUGACAAAGUGACAUGUUAUGUCAUGAGUCUAAAUGACAAGGUGACGGAUUAUGUCCUUGGCGAUCUUGGGCUAAUAGUCCCACAUCGGAUAUAGUAGGCUGGAUCGUUACAUGAAAGAAUAAAUAUUAUCGGUGAAUGUAUUAUUGAUGAAGAAGCUAUAAUUUGUCUUCAGAUCUUUAUUAAGGGAGAGU
rnacentral:lncRNA from 1 species